AGAGUUUGAUCCUGGCUCAGAAUGAACGCUGGCGGCGUGCCUAACACAUGCAAGUCGAACGAGAAACUCCGAGCUUGCUUGGAGGAGUAAAGUGGCGUACGGGUGAGUAACGCGUGGGUAACCUGUCCCUAAACCCGGGAUAAUCUACCGAAAGGUGGCCUAAGACCGGAUGACGUCCUGAGAACCACGGUUUUCUGGAUGAAAGUUGACCUCUUCAUGAAAGUUGGCGUUGAGGGAGGGGCUCGCGUACCAUUAGCUUGUCGGUAGGGUAAUGGCCUACCGAGGCUACGAUGGUUAGCUGGUCUGAGAAGAUGACCAGCCACACUGGAACUGAAACACGGUCCAGACUCCUACGGGAGGCAGCAGUGAGGAAUCUUGCGCAAUGGGGGAAACCCUGACGCAGCGACGUCGCGUGAGUGAAGAAGGCCUUCGGGUCGUAAAGCUCUGUCGAGUGGGAAUAAAAUCCAGCGGUGAAUAGCCGUGAGGAUCUGAAGGUACCACUAGAGGAAGCACCGGCUAACUCCGUGCCAGCAGCCGCGGUAAUACGGAGGGUGCGAGCGUUAUUCGGAUUUAUUGGGCGUAAAGAGCAUGUAGGCGGUUUGGUAAGUCAGAUGUGAAAUCCUUUUGCUCAACAAAAGAAGUGCAUCUGAAACUGCCCAACUUGAGUAC
rnacentral:rRNA from 1 species